UACGAAGGGUGCGAGCGUUGUUCGGAAUUAUUGGGCGUAAAGCGCACGUAGGCGGCCUUGUAAGUCUGUCUGUGAAAGCCCGGGGCUCAACCCCGGGAUGCCAGGGGAUACUGCGAGGCUGGAGACAAGCAGAGGUUGGUAGAAUUCCGGGUGUAGCGGUGGAAUGCGUAGAGAUCCGGAGGAAUACCAGAGGCGAAGGCGGCCAACUGGGCUUGUUCUGACGCUGAGGUGCGAAAGCGUGGGGAGCGAACAGG
rnacentral:rRNA from 1 species